rnacentral:rRNA from 1 species
GACGAACGCUGGCGGCGUGCCUAAUACAUGCAAGUCGAACGCACAGUUUAUACCGUAGCUUGCUACACCAUAGACUGUGAGUUGCGAACGGGUGAGUAACGCGUAGGUAACCUGCCUGGUAGCGGGGGAUAACUAUUGGAAACGAUAGCUAAUACCGCAUAAUAUUAAUUAUUGCAUGAUAAUUAAUUGAAAGGUGCAAUUGCACCACUACCAGAUGGACCUGCGGUGUAUUAGCUAGUAGGUGAGGUAACGGCUCACCUAGGCGACGAUACAUAGCCGACCUGAGAGGGUGAUCGGCCACACUGAGACGGAGACACGGCCCAGACGCCUACGGGAGGCAGCAGUAGGGAAUCUUCGGCAAUGGACGAAAGUCUGACCGAGCAACGCCGCGUGAGGGAAGAAGGUUUUCGGAUCGUAAAGCUCUGUUGUAAGAGAAGAACGGGUGUGAGAGUGGAAAGUUCACACUGUGACGGUAUCUUACCAGAAAGGGACGGCUAACUACGUG